GGGGAAUCUUCCGCAAUGGACGAAAGUCUGACGGAGCAACGCCGCGUGAGUGAUGACGGCCUUCGGGUUGUAAAGCUCUGUUAAUCGGGACGAAAGGCCUUCUUGCGAAUAGUUAGAAGGAUUGACGGUACCGGAAUAGAAAGCCACGGCUAACUACGUGCCAGCAGCCGCGGUAAUACGUAGGUGGCAAGCGUUGUCCGGAAUUAUUGGGCGUAAAGCGCGCGCAGGCGGAUUGGUCAGUCUGUCUUAAAAGUUCGGGGCUUAACCCCGUGAUGGGAUGGAAACUGCCAAUCUAGUGUAUCGGAGAGGAAAGUGGAAUUCCUAGUGUAGCGGUGAAAUGCGUAGAUAUUAGGAAGAACACCAGUGGCGAAGGCGACUUUCUGGACGAAAACUGACGCUGAGGCGCGAAAGCCAGGGGAGCGGACGGGAUUAGAUACCCCGGUAGUCCUGGCCGUAAACGAUGGGUACUAGGUGUAGGAGGUAUCGACCCCUUCUGUGCCGGAGUUAACGCAAUAAGUACCCCGCCUGGGGAGUACGACCGCAAGGUUG
rnacentral:rRNA from 1 species